ensembl:snRNA U1 U1 spliceosomal RNA
AUACUUACCUGGCAGGAGAGAUACUACGAUCACGAAGGUGGUUUUCCCAGGGCAAGGCUUAUCCAUUGUUAUCCAUUGUACUCCGUAUGUGCUGACCCCUGCGAUUUCCCCAAAGGUGGGAAACUCGACUGCAUGAUUUGUGGUAGUGGGGGACUACGUUCGCGCUUUCCCCUG